rnacentral:rRNA from 1 species
AUGAGCGCCGCACGGAGAGGAUGCACGGCGAGUCGAGUAGGGCUCAGGGUCUGGCGGAGAGCGGGGCGGGGUUCCGGCGGCGGGAGGAGGGUUUCUUGGGGGAGGGAGGGAGGGAGGAAUGGGCGGUGGGUUUGGGGCAUUGAAGACUUUGAUUUGGGGAGGGAGAAGAGGAGAGGAGAGGAGAUGGAAAAUGAGGGAGAAUUUUUGGAGAAAAGGAGUGACUUCACUGCCCGCGUCGCCUCCCUCCUUCCCUCUGCUGAGGCUGCUGCUGACUUUCAAACUGCCGCAGCCCCCGCAGCCGCAGCUCAGGUCGUGCUCGCACCGCCGCCCUUCUUUCUGCCCCCUCCCACACGCCCGUUUACCACGCUCAUCUCCCUACGUCCGCGAAUAAGUGUACAUUUAGCUUUUGUCUUAAAUCAAACUUUUAAUACUUUAACCACAUUUCUAGGAAAAAGUAAAAGCAUUUAUGGCACCAAAUUAGUAUCACUAUAUUCGUUUUGA